AACGGUCUAUACCUGCGGUACCUGCGGAGGGAUCAUUACCGAGUUUACAACUCCCAAACCCCUGUGAACAUACCACUCGUUGCCUCGGCGGAUCACCGCGCCCCGUGAAACGGGCCGGCCCGCCAGAGGACCUAAACUCAAAUGUUUUAUUGUAUCUUCUGAGUAAAAACACAAAUAAAUCAAAACUUUUAGCAAUGGAUCUCU
rnacentral:misc_RNA from 1 species